GCACCACCCUUUCUCCCAGCUGCAGUGCCUGUGUGCUGGUUUGUCAACCUGUAGCCCCUUCCUGCUGCCCUGCGCGCCCUUCCCCGCUUAGUCAUCGCCGCUACCAGCCCGCACUCGCCGGGACUUUCUCCCAAGGCCUCGGGAUGGUAGUGAACGUGGCACGGAGGAGCCGGGCCUUCCCACCCUGUGGGCUUGAGCUCCAGAAGGCUCCCUCGGCCGUGAGAGGGGCUUGGGGUCGCUCCCUUCUCUCGCCUCUGCCUCCGCAAAGCUGCGCUCUGGGCUGACAGGUGAGUGUUGUGGGUAGGCGGUCGGGUGCACGGAAGGGGUGGGGGGCUUGGGAACCGGGCUCCUGGGGGAUGUAGGGACGAAGCCCUGGGCCUUAAUUUGGGGGAGGCUGCAUGCUGGUGUCAGGAUGGCCUCUAAUGGAAUCUGUGAUAGUUACCAGCUAGGUGACUUUGGGGCUGGUGACUACGCGAGAGGCCUCUGGAGGUCACCCUCGUGGACACGGUUUUCAGGGACGGGUUUUAGGCAUUCAGACCCUUGUUUGCAUCCCAGCUUCUUGCUUUCAGCCUUCCUAAGUGACUAAGCGACCUCCAGUAAGUAAGUUAAUCGGUCUAAACCUCUUAUCUGUAAUAGAGGUAUAAAACCAUCCCAUUAAGAUGAAAUGAGAAGAAGCACACCAAAGAUUGGCACAGCGUGGUCGGUGGGGCCUGCAGGAUGACUGUUGACUUUUGUGGCCUACAGAGUUCCCGGCGUACUUCAGGUAGUAAUGAUGGACAGGUGAGGCCUUAGGUGGCUGCCCUGGGACCUGAAUUGCCCCUUGGCCCUUAUCGAAGCUGCAGCUGCUUCCGCAUAGCUGCUGCGGUCAAAAAGGAGCCCAGAGUGACAGUUUUCCUUGACGGUCGCCGUUCUGUUUGUUGUAACUGAUCUGCAACAUUUUGGGAAAAGACAGUUCCAUUGUAUCUGCCAUCUUUCAGCUGUAGCCAGAGAGACCUUUAUCAAAAUGGGCAUGUUUCCACAGACCAGCAGAAAGGUUGGGGGGUUGCAUGUACAGUUAACCAGCAUAACACUCAUAUUGGGAAAGUCCAGUUGGGAUGUGACACAGCUUAACUGAUAGCUUAAGGCAUCAGUAAUAGGGACCAAAGGUUGGUCAGACUUUUAUGAUUCUGAGAACCAAAUGGUGGGAACAGUAAGAUUGAUCAUGGCAACUGUUCUCAUUCUGCUGUUCCAGAUGAAGACUCUAAGAUGACAGAAGUUGAUUUUUCUGGUGAUCAAGGGCUCCCAGAGCCAUGAGAGUGAUGAAGUGCAACCAUUACAGGACCUGGUUGCCCCAAGUUUGCUGGCAGUGUGAUACUGAGGAGAUCAGCUUUUUUAUGGAGCUGUGCUUUAAGGUAAAGUUGAUGUGGAACAACACAUCAGGAGCUUAGUCCUCCUGUACCCUUUCCCAUCAGAUCUGAACGUUGGUCUUGGUGGUCGUAAAAGGAGGAAAACUAAUACUGAAGCUGCCCUCAAUGUUGUAAUCUGGUAUAUAGCAUGUGGGCUAGUUUCAAACAGGUUCAUAGCUGGUUGGGUCUCUGAAAUUGUAAAAUGAAGUAUAAUCUUUGGGUAAGGGAAGGAUGCGUGUGAAGCUCUGCAAGUUGGUAUAGUAAUUGCUGACCUAUUACUGCAUUUGGGAGGGAUCUGUCAUAGCUUUCUUGCCUCUUAAGGUUGUGUCACUUUUUUCUUGUAGAUUGAUGUUACGCAUAAAGCUGUCCUUAUUUGUGACUAUGGACCCUAUGGAGUUGGGAGAACAUGGGAAGCAGAAGUCAAGACCCUGGUCAUUUUAGGUGGGAACAGCGGCAUGUUCUAGGUGGAGACUUGUUUUUUUGCUAAUGCAAAAAAUUAUGUAGUGUGCUACUGAACUUAAGAGGUGAUCAAUAAAAGACUCUAGAAGUA